AGCCCCAUGAAAGUGUGAAACACUCAAUAGAGAAUAUAAAACAUUUGCCUAAUCUUAAGUGGUAACUGAGCCAAAAUACCGGAAGGAAAAAUGCACUUCAGCACCUGGCUUGCAAAUAUUGGACUCCAUCUGCAGUUUAACUUUAACUGAGCGAUUAAUGUGAAAUUUAGAAUUGGAUCCUCAGAUCUUGUUUCCAUCCCUUUCUUUUGGGGCUUUAACCCCGGAUGCUUUAUUUUCAAGGGCUCAGGGACCACAGCCAAGUCAAGCAGCCGAUUCCAGCUCCUUGGCCCCGACAACGUCUAGUAAAAAGGCAACUCCUCAAUUCUUUCUUAACUUUUAUUAAGAAUCAAAUGAGUGGUGGGAAUUGUGCUAGGCCCCCAGGAUCCGACGGAACCCGAUGCAGUCCCUGACCUCCAGGGACUCACGGGUUAGUGGAUCAAACACAGGAUGACGAGACGAAUACUGCAGACAGGAACACUAACCGGUCCCAAAGGAAGUGCCGUCUAACCAAACCAAGGUAAGGGCUAUUACGUGGCCACCCUA